rnacentral:rRNA from 1 species
UACGUAGGGGGCUAGCGUUGUUCGGAAUCACUGGGCGUAAAGCGCACGUAGGCGGAUGUGUCAGUCAGGGGUGAAAUCCCAGGGCUCAACCCUGGAACUGCCUUUGAUACUGUCGAUCUGGAGUAUGGAAGAGGUGAGUGGAAUUCCGAGUGUAGAGGUGAAAUUCGUAGAUAUUCGGAGGAACACCAGUGGCGAAGGCGGCUCACUGGUCCAUUACUGACGCUGAGGUGCGAAAGCGUGGGGAGCAAACAGG